AUUGAACGCUGGCGGCAGGCUUAACACAUGCAAGUCGAGCGAGCGGCGGACGGGUGAGUAAUGUCUGGGAACCUGCCUGAUGGAGGGGGAUAACUACUGGAACCGGUAGCUCAUACCGCCUACCAUCCGAUGUGCUCAGAUGGGAUUAGCUAGUAGGUGGGGUAAUGGCUCACCUAGGCGACGCUCCCUACCUGGUCUGAGAGGAUGACAAGCCACACUGGAACGGAGACACGGGCCAAGAGCCAACGGGAGGCAGGAGUGGGGAAAGUUGCACAAAGGGCGGAAGCUUGGUGCAACCAAGCCGCGGGGGGGAAAAAGGCCUUCGGGUUGUAAAGCACUGUCAGUGAGGAGGCGUUACUCGCAGAAGAAGCACCGGCUAACUCCGUGCCAGCAGCCGCGGUAAUUC
rnacentral:rRNA from 1 species